UACGUAGGGUGCAAGCGUUGUCCGGAAUUAUUGGGCGUAAAGAGCUCGUAGGCGGUCUGUCGCGUCGGCUGUGAAAACUUGGGGCUCAACCCCAAGCCUGCAGUCGAUACGGGCAGACUAGAGUGCGGUAGGGGAGACUGGAAUUCCUGGUGUAGCGGUGAAAUGCGCAGAUAUCAGGAGGAACACCGGUGGCGAAGGCGGGUCUCUGGGCCAUAACUGACGCUGAGGAGCGAAAGCGUGGGGAGCGAACAGG
rnacentral:rRNA from 1 species